GUCCCGCCGUAGCAGCACAGAAAUAUUGGCACUGCCUUGUCCAGCCAGUAUUGCUUGCGCUGCUCCCGUGGGCC